rnacentral:rRNA from 1 species
AUGGACUCCGAUUCCACCUAUCCCCUCGUCGGCCUCCUUCCGUCCCGACCCUUUAAAUCCCACGAGCAGCCCUCCCUCCCUCCCACGGCGCCCACACCCGCUAAUCUCCUCCGUGACUCGCCUCGUCUCCUCCGCGAUUCAUCCAUGGCAGCGACGCAUCGGGUCUCCGCCGUGAUCUUCGACCUCGACGGCACCCUCUUGGACACAGAGAGGGCAACAAGGGACGUCUUGAAAGAGUUCUUGGGGACCUACGGGGAGGUCCCAGAUGCGGCCAAGGAGGAGAAGCGGUUGGGGCAGAUGCACAGGGAGUCCACGACCGGGAUCAUCGCAGACUAUGGGUUGCCCAUCACCGUCGAGGAGUAUUCAGAGGCAAUAUACCCGCUGUAUAUCAAAAGGUGGCAAAGGGCAAGCCCACUUCCAGGGGUUAACAGGCUUCUCAAGCACCUCUACAAGAACGGAGUACCCCUGGCACUCGCUUCAAAUUCCAUCAGGAGAAAUAUCGAUCACAAAAUUUUGAAACUAGGAGAACUGAAAGACUGCUUUUCGGUGGUUCUUGGUGGUGAUCAGGUCCCUCAUGGAAAACCUUGCCCUGACAUAUUUCUGGAGGCCGCAAAGAGGCUUGGUGUAAAUCCGUCGUCAUGUUUGGUCAUAGAAGAUUCUCUUGUUGGAGUUCAGGCUGCCAAGGCUUCUGGGGCGAAGGUAGUUGCUGUUCCAUCACUGCAAAGUCAAAGGCAUUGUUACUCAAUUGCUGAUCUCAUCCUCUAUUCACUGCUAGACUUCCAUCCUGAGUUGUGGGGUCUUCCCCCAUUUGAAGAUCGCAUCCAAGGUGCUUUGGCCAUGGAACCAUUACUCUCAAAUGCUCAGAUAGGUGAUGCGGUUCAAAACAAUACUCAUACACUUAUAGCAGGUGAGUGCACCUACGACUCUAUUCCUGAUCAAAUAUCAGGAAUUUUCUUUGGUUGGGCCAAGUCAGAAACUUAUGGAGUCUUUAAAGCGGUGGUCAGCACUGGGUGGGAUCUUUCACCGGGAAAAUUCGAAAGAGUGAUGGAAAAUAUAUCUCAAGCAAUGAGCAUAACUGACGAAGACCAGGCCACUGCAAGAGAUGCACUAGACCUCCCAGCUUUCUGUGAAUAUGCAAAGACAAGGGGUGCAUUGGACCUCCCAGCCUUACCUGAAUAUGCAGAGCCACGAAACGGACUUCUUCUUGCCUGA